AACGCACAUUGCACCCCCUGGUAUUCCGGGGGGUAUGCCUGUCCGAGCGUCAUUGCUGCCCUCAAGCCCGGCUUGUGUGUUGGGUCCUCGUCCCCCCCGGGGGACGGGCCCGAAAGGCAGCGGCGGCACCGCGUCCGGUCCUCGAGCGUAUGGGGCUUUGUCACACCGCUCUCGUAGGCCCGGCCGGCGCUGGCCGACGCUGAAAAGCAACCAUUAUUUCUCCAGGUUGACCUCGGAUCAGGUAGGGAUACCCGCUGAACUUAA
rnacentral:misc_RNA from 1 species